GGUAAGAUGGCUGAGAGAAAGCAUUAGACUGUAAAUCUAAUUACAGGGAGUAUGCUCCCUUCUUAUC
rnacentral:tRNA from 1 species